GACGAACGCUGGCGGCGUGCUUAACACAUGCAAGUCGAGCGGUAAGGCCCUUCGGGGUACACGAGUGGCGAACGGGUGAGUAACACGUGGGUGAUCUGCCCUGCACUUCGGGAUAAGCCUGGGAAACUGGGUCUAAUACCGGAUAGGACCCUGGGAUGCAUGUCCUGGGGUGGAAAGCUUUUGCGGUGUGGGAUGGGCCCGCGGCCUAUCAGCUUGUUGGUGGGGUGAUGGCCUACCAAGGCGACGACGGGUAGCCGGCCUGAGAGGGUGUCCGGCCACACUGGGACUGAGAUACGGCCCAGACUCCUACGGGAGGCAGCAGUGGGGAAUAUUGCACAAUGGGCGCAAGCCUGAUGCAGCGACGCCGCGUGAGGGAUGACGGCCUUCGGGUUGUAAACCUCUUUCAGCACCGACGAAGCGCAAGUGACGGUAGGUGCAGAAGAAGGACCGGCCAACUACGUGCCAGCAGCCGCCGUAA
rnacentral:rRNA from 1 species